rnacentral:rRNA from 1 species
GGGGAAUAUUGGACAAUGGGCGAAAGCCUGAUCCAGCCAUGCCGCGUGUGUGAAGAAGGUCUUCGGAUUGUAAAGCACUUUAAGUUGGGAGGAAGGGUUGUAGAUUAAUACUCUGCAAUUUUGACGUUACCGACAGAAUAAGCACCGGCUAACUCUGUGCCAGCAGCCGCGGUAAUACAGAGGGUGCAAGCGUUAAUCGGAAUUACUGGGCGUAAAGCGCGCGUAGGUGGUUUGUUAAGUUGGAUGUGAAAGCCCCGGGCUCAACCUGGGAACUGCAUCCAAAACUGGCAAGCUAGAGUACGGUAGAGGGUGGUGGAAUUUCCUGUGUAGCGGUGAAAUGCGUAGAUAUAGGAAGGAACACCAGUGGCGAAGGCGACCACCUGGACUGAUACUGACACUGAGGUGCGAAAGCGUGGGGAGCAAAC